AAUAAUAUAAUUCAGUGUCUAAUAAUACUAGCCUUAGAGGAAGGCUGGGCGCCUGUAGUCCCAGCUACUCGGGAGGCUGAGGCAGGAGAAUGGCAUGAACCGAGGAGGCGGAGCUUGCAAUGAGCCGAGAUCGCGCCACUGCACUCCAGCCUGGGUGACAGAGCAAGACUCUUGUCUCAAAAAAAAAAAAGCCUUCUAGGUAUAUUAUCUGUUGUGAUUUUACAACAGCCCUAUUUAUGUUCAUGUGUUGCUGUCUUCAUUUUUAUGAGGAAAGAAAUUAAGGUUCAGAGAGGUUAAGUAACUGGCUUAAGUUACUUAUUUAGAAACAGAGAAAACAGGAUCCACAUGUUCCUGUUGAGAAACACAAAUUUUGAUUCUCCUCAGUUGGGCUGCAACACUGCUGUGCUCUCAGGACACCUAGCUGAGCUGGCAGCACAAACCAGUGUGAGGGCACGCUUCACAUUUAGAGCUGGUGCUUACUUCUGCUAGCAGAAUGGAGCAGUGGGAGCUGAGGCAGGAGGAUCUCUUGAACCCGGGAGGCGGAGGUUGCAGUGAGCCGAGACCGCGCCAUUGCAUUCCAGCCUGGGCAACAAGAGCGAAACUUUAUCUCUAAAAAAAAAAGAAAGAAUUAGGAUUACAUAACUGUUAAUAAACACUGAACUGUACACAUAAAAAUGGGUAAGAUGGGGAAUUUUGUUAAUUUUUUUUACCACAGUUUGUUUAAAAAGUAGCUACUAAAUGUAAAGUGGUACAGUAGAAAUACUUGAUUAAUGAAAAAGAACAAAGCUCAGAUGAUGAAAGGUAGGUGUAAACAAAAUAUCAAUUAAAUGUAAGUGGACUAAACACUCCAUUAAAUAC
rnacentral:lncRNA from 1 species